UUUCCUCUGCGCUCUAACUUUCUGCUCACAGUUCUCGGUGUUUCUGUUUCCAUCUGCCUCUAUCAGAUAGAGAGCUUGCUUGCGGUGCCAUUCCUGCACCAAGGCUAGAAGGAUGCUGAAAACUUUUGAUAUGCUCAGACAGGAGCCUGGCAUAAUUGUUCUCUGAGAGGCUCCACCUAGCAGCUGACUGAAACAGAUGCAGAGACCCACAGCCAAACAUUGGAUGGAGCACAGAGCAUCCUAUGGAAGUUGGGGAAGGAUUGAUGGUCCUGGAAGGGAUAGGAACUCCACAGGAAGACCAACAGAGUCAACUAACCUGGAACCUAUGGGCUCUCAGAGACUGAACCACCAACCAAAGAGCAUUCAUGGGCUAGACCUAGGCCUCCCCACACAUAUGUAGCAGAUGUGCAGCUCAGUCUUCAUGCGGGUCCUCUAACAACUGGAAGUGAGGGCUGUCCCUAAAGCUGUGGCCUCUCUGUGGAUCCUGUUCCCCUAACUGAGCCGCCUUGUCUGGCCUCAGUGAGAGAGGCUGUGUAGAGACUUGCUGUACCAAGGUUGGGGAAUACCUUCUCUCAGAGGAAAAGGGAAGGAGUGGGAGAAAGAGAAAGAGAGAGAGAGAGAGAGAGAGAGAGAGAGAGAGAGAGAGAGAGAGAGAGAGAAAGAGAGAGAGAUCGAGAGAUCGUGUAAAGGGGGACAGAGAGGAGAGGGACAGCAAUUGGGAUACAAAGUGAAUAAACAAAUUAAUGGAAAAAGAGAGAGAAAGACUGAGAAAGCCAUGAGAGCAGACCAGUAAGCAGCGUCCUUCCACGGCCUCUGUAUCAGCUCCUGCUCCAGGUUCCUGCCUUUCUUGAGUUCCUGCCCUGGCUUCCUUCAGUGAUUAAGGAAGUGUCCUCCCAGAGUUGUUUUGGUCAUAGUUUCUCAUCACAGCAAUAGGAACUGGUUAACUUGACAGAAGUUUCUUCAGAAUGUUUUGCCCUGAAACUGACAUAGGCACUAAUAUUUCACAUCUAUAAUUGGUCACGAAUCCCAAGUUACUACACUGACACAGCCAUAUCCUCUGGGAACAGUGAGAGUCAUGAAGCCAGCACAGCUGCUUCGCACAGUUUCCCCAUAGCUGAGUUGAAUGUUGCAAUUGCUGUCAUUCUGCCUCUCACGUUUAGGCUUUUGGGUUCUGUGUGUUGCAUUCUUGAGGGCUUUCUGCAAUAUGAUCCAUUUUUAUGUAUUUUCCUGUGAAAAUUAUGUCCGAGUCUUUCUAGGAAAAUCCUAACAUCAACUUUAUCUGGCCCUAUUAGGAAACUUUUAUAUGGCCUGAAGACCAUUAAGCACAGAUAAGCACAUUAGGUAGAUGAGGCCAUAACUCUGGGAAUCCAUUUUUUGGGUGUCUGCCCCUGAGAAAAAUCAAGCAGUGUAAUUGGUGCAGGUUAGUAGAGACAACUGACCAAGUCUGACUGGUCAGGAGGAAAGGAUGCAGAGCGAAGGUCUCCCUUUACAAUACACUUAGGGCUCUCUGAACACAUAAUUUUGAGAUGGGGGUCAUACAGGGAGCACCUCUGGAGGAAGAGAACUCAGUAGAUAAAAUAGAUUUUUAUUUUAUUUUUUUUAAAAGCAUGUUUAUGUGAUUGCACAUAAAUGUCUGUGUAAAAAGGGCAUUAUGACAGUUGAUACCACAAAGAUUACAGUAAGAAAAGCACUUUAUGACAAUAUUUCACAAAUUCACAAGGAUCACUUUAAUAUACAAAGUAACUGCUACCAUUCUGAACACAAAGCAGCCAGUAUGUACAUAGUGUUAAUAAAAUGCAUGGUGUCUUGGUACUUUUAUUCUUUACACAUAAAGCACAAAAAGAUUUAGGUAAAAAAUUUAAACAGGGACGUUUCUAGAUUGUGGGAACGUUAUUAGAAAUGCAUGUCCCUUCUCAUAGUUAUUAGUAUUCUUCUCCAAUAGGAACAUCAGAGUUAAAGCUCAUACCCUGUUUUGUGCUAACAGUUCCGGGGAGGUAUUUUCUACUCCAGUACUCAAGGAAAACCCAAAAAGCCAAACACCAUUCUAGGACUUCCCUGGUUAUUUUGUUUUUCAAAAGUUUCAAGUGACAUGUCUAGGUUGGAAAUGAUCCCUUCCACUGGGGCAUUAUAACCGAUGUGUACAGAUCAGUUGAAGACAGCUUUACACAGAAAACUGCUAACUAGCACACUUCUUCACCAUCCUAAUAAAUUUACACACACAGAAAAAUGUUGACAAAAUUUCCCACUUUUAAUAUAAAUAAUUUUAUUACAUACACAUUGAAGUGGCACCUGGGUAAAAAUACGUCUAUAAAGCACUUACCAAUUCAAUUUUAAAAAACAUAAGAAAAUAAAACUUCCCAAAUAUAAUAAAUCAUUUCAUGUUGCCAACAUAGAUUAUGAUCUGCAGUGAUCUUUCUUCUCUACUGAUUUUCAACAUCUCAGACUUACUCUCAUCUCGAGAUGUCCAUUAGACAGAAGCUUAGAAAUGCUAUACUUCUAUGGGCAGGUAGUAGAUCAUGCCUGGGAAGUUUCCUACUGUUUGACCCUCUCGGAUACUUCCUAUAGAUUAUUACUCUUCUUCCUUUUUCUUGCUGGUAACAAUUUAAUAUUUACCCAGCUGGCCCCCGCCCCACCAGAGUGGGACAGGCCGGCUCAUCAUCAGCGUCUGUUCUCACACUGACAACUCGCUUCCCAAACUUUGCUCUCUUAUUUAUUUUUUUUAAUUUUU